rnacentral:rRNA from 1 species
CCCUUAGAUGUUCUGAGCCGCACGCGCGCUACACUGAUGCAUUCAACGAGUCUAAAACCUGGUCUGAUAGGGCUGGGUAAUCUUUUGAAUGUGCAUCGUGAUUGGGAUAGAUGAUUGCAAUUCUUCAUCUUCAACGAGGAAUGCCUAGUAAACGCAAGUCAUCAGCUUGCAUUGAUUACGUCCCUGCCCUUUGUACACACCGCCCGUCGCUCCUACCGAUUGAAUGUUCCGAUGAAUACCAUGGACUGAGAGUAUGAAUGGGUUCGCCUAUUUCUGCUUCUCGGGAAGUGGAGUAAAUCUUAACAUUUAGAGGAAGGAGAAGUCGUAACA